ensembl:lncRNA
UGGAACCUGAUGAACAACUUUAAAACUUUGGGUUUGAUUCCCAGUGAAUGCAUGAACUGAACAAACCUUAAAUGCAAUGCAAGUUGCUUUGAAUUAAAUGUCAAAUAUUAAUGCAUAGAGGUCAUUUAGAUACAGAACUCUUAAAUGGUACAUUGUUAGUCUCUUUCACAAGAGUCAACACAUCGUGAUCUCUCAGCACAUAUUGGAAGAGAUUGUAAAAUGCCUUAAGGCUCAGAGAGAAUGGAAAUGGUAACUAAAAACUGAAACUGGCCUUUUACAGUGGACUGAUAUUACAAAGGGACGUCAUUAAUAACACUACAGAACUGUUAAAGUGAUCAGUUUGGCCCCUUUAAUGCAGUUUUUAAAUCUCAGAUUGGUGUUCAUGUUUUUUAUUUUUAAUUCUAAAAUCACAUAUAUUCUACAGCACGGAUGAAGAUCUGUGGUUUGAUUGGUGCUGUGGCCUGGUGGUGAUCAGAUGAGCCUCAUUUGCAUUGCUAAACAGCAUACAGGUGAAUGUCAGUAACGAUCCUUGAUUACCGCAGCCAUGCUGACCUUUCACCACCAACAAAAUAUGUGCUGCACGAUCAGAGUGCAUCGUGUGAGACUGACUGUGCUGAUGUCCCUGAAGGUCAAACACUUAACCUCGCCGUCGCUGAAGUGUGGAACUGUGCAAAUGAAAUCGAAGAGUUUGAGGAGUUAGAACAUUCACAAGCUCAGAUGAGAGCACUCAUCACUGAGUAGUGUUCAAGAUCUCUGGUCUCAGACAAGGAGAUGAACCUUCAAUGUCCUUCACCGAUCAUCAUUUCAAGUGUGGUCUGACGUGACCGAAAGAUCAUAUCUGAGCGGGCGCUCCAGGUCUCAUUGUGCAUGGAAAGCGUCCUCUCUGCCGCAGACGGUUACACACAUCUCUC